CCCCUCUCAGGAUUGAAACUGGAGAGUUUCCAGUACUCUUCCAGUCUCAGCUGUGGGAGGGAGAGUAGGCAGAGGCCGACCCAUUCCAUUCCUAGCUCGAACAGUGGCUAGCAAGUGACAGGCAAUCUGCUACAAGU